rnacentral:rRNA from 1 species
UCAUUAACUGAAUCCAUAGGUUAAUGAGGCGAACCGGGGGAACUGAAACAUCUAAGUACCCCGAGGAAAAGAAAUCAACCGAGAUUCCCCCAGUAGCGGCGAGCGAACGGGGAGCAGCCCAGAGCCUGAAUCAGUGUGUGUGUUAGUGGAAGCGUCUGGAAAGGCGCGCGAUACAGGGUGACAGCCCCGUACACAAAAAUGCACAUGCUGUGAGCUCGAUGAGUAGGGCGGGACACGUGGUA